GACAGAGGGUGCAAACGUUGCUCGGAAUCACUGGGCGUAAAGGGCGUGUAGGCGGGAAUGUAAGUCGGGCGUGAAAUCCCUAGGCUCAACCUAGGAACUGCACUCGAAACUGCGUUUCUUGAGUAUCGGAGAGGAAAGCGGAAUACCUGGUGUAGAGGUGAAAUUCGUAGAUAUCAGGUGGAACACCGAGUGGCGAAGGGCCGGCUACCUGGCCUGUUCUUGACGCUGAGGCGCGAAAGCUAGGGGAGCAAACGGG
rnacentral:rRNA from 1 species